rnacentral:pre_miRNA from 1 species
AAGUAGAAUAAAUCAUUUUCUGUGAUCAAACUGACAGAUCAAUGAUUUAGUCUCUUUG